rnacentral:rRNA from 1 species
UACGAAGGGGGCUAGCGUUGCUCGGAAUUACUGGGCGUAAAGGGCGCGUAGGCGGACAGUUAAGUCAGAGGUGAAAGCCCAGGGCUCAACCCUGGAAUUGCCUUUGAUACUGGCUGUCUUGAGUAUGGGAGAGGUGAGUGGAACUCCGAGUGUAGAGGUGAAAUUCGUAGAUAUUCGGAAGAACACCAGUGGCGAAGGCGACUCACUGGCCCAUUACUGACGCUGAGGCGCGAAAAGCGUGGGGAGCAAACAGGG